UACGAAGGGGGCUAGCGUUGCUCGGAAUUACUGGGCGUAAAGCGCAUGUAGGCGGAUCCAUAAGUCGGGCGUGAAAUCCCCAGGCUCAACCUGGGAACUGCGCUCGAAACUGUGGGUCUUGAGUGUCGGAGAGGAUGGCGGAAUUCCUGGUGUAGAGGUGAAAUUCGUAGAUAUCAGGAGGAACACCGGUGGCGAAGGCGGCCAUCUGGACGACAACUGACGCUGAGAUGCGAAAGCGUGGGGAGCAAACAGG
rnacentral:rRNA from 1 species